rnacentral:rRNA from 1 species
AGCGAACGCUGGCGGCAGGCUUAACACAUGCAAGUCGAGCGGACGUAGCAAUACGUUAGCGGCAGACGGGUGAGUAACACGUGGGAACGUGCCCUUUGGUUCGGGAUAACCCAGGGAAACCUGGGCUAAUACCGGAUAAGCCCUUACGGGGAAAGAUUUAUCGCCAAAGGAUCGGCCCGCGUCUGAUUAGCUAGUUGGUGGGGUAAUGGCCCACCAAGGCUACGAUCAGUAGCUGGUCUGAGAGGAUGAUCAGCCACACUGGGACUGAGAUACGGCCCAGACUCCUACGGGAGGCAGCAGUGGGAAUAUUGGACAAUGGGCGAAAGCCUGAUCCAGCCAUGCCGCGUGAGUGAUGAAGGCCUUAGGGUUGU